rnacentral:lncRNA from 1 species
ACAACAACAACCACCGCCGCAGCAGCAAGGCUUUAAUCCUGCACAAAUGUCAGUACAAACUCCGUCGCCGUUUCCGAUGCCGUCAUCACCAACACCUUUUGGAUGUUUGAAUUCGCAGCUUUCAUCUUACCCUUUGUUGUCACCUGGUUUAUUGUUUUCCCCCAAUUCGGCUAAUUUAGGGUUUCCUCAACUUCCUCUUUCACCAACCGUGCAGGUUCCAAGUCCACGAUGGAGAGAGCUUUGACUUCAAUUGAGGUAAGAUUGGUCUGAAUCGUGGUUUUUCGGCUCUGAUUUUGGGAUGUACAUGGUGGUGGAUGUGGUGAUUUGGAAAAUGGAAUUCGAAUUUAUUCAAUUUGUGGUGGUUGGACUCAAAAACUAACUAGUCCAAUUUGCUACUUAGUACUAGUUUAUUUUAUUCUGUAAAAAUGGGAUAUCAAAGACAGAUGAAAGGAACAAUUUUGCAUUUGUUUUUUGCUCUUUUCGGAUAAUUUGGGGGAUUAGAAAAACACAAAUUAGAUGUUAUUAUUAUACAACAUUUAUAGUGGGAUUAUCAUGCUGUUUUUAAUAUAAAAAAAACUAUUAUUGUCAAAAUAAUGUAUCCUUGCCCAAGGAUAUGAUUUUGUGAGCGAAUGUGAUUUGAGAAAAAUCUAAUUUAAUUAGUUAAUAAAUUAGCAGAUAAGAUCAAAUUAAAUUUUAUAGUAUAAAAAGAUAUUACUAUAUCUAACAGAAUAAAAGAAAAAUAAAUAAAAAAUAGGGAUGCAAUGGGUUUCCUUCUUUUGCGAUUGUUGUCUAUUGUGUUAUUUUCAGCAUAGACUAUAUAGUAGGAAACAGUAUAAAAAGAAGUGAAAAGAGGUGCAUGAAAAAGAACACACCAUGAGUAUAUAGAUUAAUUUAUAAAUAUUAUUUAUUUUUGAAUUUUUGUCAUCAGCGUCACUUAAUUAUUUUUUUGAGAUAGUGACCAUUGCCCACUUCAACUUCAUAUUUAAACCCUUGAAAAAAUAAUGAACAAUAAUAUAUUAUUAUAUAUAAUCUUCUGUGUGUGUCCCUACUCGGCGCUGAGAUAAGAGUAACCCACCACCACCACAAAACAUAGCUCUUCUCAAUAAGAGAGAGAGAGAGAGAGAGAGAUUUUGUAUUGCAACAAACAAUAUUGUAGUAGUGAUGGAUAAAAGCUGUCAAUCCUCUGCAGACUCUACUAAUAAUUCCUCUUCCAGAGACCACUACCUCAGACACCUCAAUAAGCUUUCUCAAAAAAUCACCAAACCCAUCAUUAAAAAACCCUCUUUUGACCCUCCACCACUACCACCACCACCACCGCCACCACAACCUCAAAAUCAGAAUCAAAAUCAAAUUCAAAACCAAAACCAAAACCAAAACCAAAACACUAAUAAUAAUAAUAAUAAUAAUAAUCCUCUACAGCCACAACCACAACCACAGCAAAACCUACAACAUCAACCACCAGUUUACAACAUCAACAAAAACGAUUUCAGAGACGUAGUUCAAAAACUAACGGGUUCACCUGCACACGACCGUAUCUCAACACCACCACCUAUUCAACAACCUAAACCACAAAGCUCUCGUCUUCAGCGAAUUCGUCCACCUCCGUUACCUCACAUCACUAACCGUCCACCUCCGUUACUUAACACCGCUAUACCCCGUCGUCCACAACACCAGAACUUCAACUUUAACCCCGUUAACUUUAAUCAUAACUUUCCUGGUUUUGGUAGACCUCUGGCGCCGUUAUCUCCGUUGCCGCCGUUUCCUACCGUUCACGCUCCGGCGGAAUCUCCAAUCUCCGCUUACAUGCGCGAUCUGCAGAAUCUCGUUUCCACCAUGGAUUCGAAAGGCUUCACCGGUUUUUCUCCUUUGCCUCCUCCGAUUUCAUCGCCUCACCCUCCACCGGAACAACAGCAACAACAGCAACAACAACAUCAACAACAACAGCAGCCGCAACAUCAACAGCAGCAUCAACAUCAACAACAACAACCACCGCCGCAGCAGCAAGGCUUUAAUCCUGCACAAAUGUCAGUACAAACUCCGUCGCCGUUUCCGAUGCCGUCAUCACCAACACCUUUUGGAUGUUUGAAUUCGCAGCUUUCAUCUUACCCUUUGUUGUCACCUGGUUUAUUGUUUUCCCCCAAUUCGGCUAAUUUAGGGUUUCCUCAACUUCCUCUUUCACCAACCGUGCAGGUUCCAAGUCCACGAUGGAGAGAGCUUUGACUUCAAUUGAGGUAAGAUUGGUCUGAAUCGUGGUUUUUCGGCUCUGAUUUUGGGAUGUACAUGGUGGUGGAUGUGGUGAUUUGGAAAAUGGAAUUCGAAUUUAUUCAAUUUGUGGUGGUUGGACUCAAAAACUAACUAGUCCAAUUUGCUACUUAGUACUAGUUUAUUUUAUUCUGUAAAAAUGGGAUAUCAAAGACAGAUGAAAGGAACAAUUUUGCAUUUGUUUUUUGCUCUUUUCGGAUAAUUUGGGGGAUUAGAAAAACACAAAUUAGAUGUUAUUAUUAUACAACAUUUAUAGUGGGAUUAUCAUGCUGUUUUUAAUAUAAAAAAAACUAUUGUUAUGACAUUUUGAUUUAUUCAUUAACCAUAUUUUUCUUUUCUUCAAAUGUGUGUUAUUGUCUUGGUCAUGCUGAUAUUAUCAUUUGAUACUUUGCUGUUUGUGGAUAUAGAGCUUGUUUAAUAUCAACAUUUGAAUUAGUUAGGUAUGAGAUCAUGGUCCCUCAUGUUUCUUUUUGAGGUACUGUGGCUAUCUAUUGUUUGACCUUUUCCUUGGGAUAAAGGGGAAAUAGUUGACCGGUCGUUCAAUUAUACAUGUGAUAAGUGGAAAUGUGGUAUUCAUAGAUAUUUUGGCAUUCUUUGGAUAUAUUUUGGCAUGUUCUUAUUUUUGUGUGUUGUAUAUAGUGUACGGUUGUAUUGGUGAUGAGUUUAGUGCAAGGUGGCACCGUGAUUUUGAUGAUGAUCCGAAGUAAAAUUUUUACUAAAAUCAUGUGAUAAGUUUUUACUAAAAUCACAGUGAUUCUGCCAAAUUUACUGUGGUUCUAAACAUGCACAAAGAUUCUUUUCUUUUGGAUUGAAUUUUUAGUUAGUAGCACUAGCAGUGUCCAUUUGGUUAUAAGAGGAUGCAAUUAUUUAGCUGAUCUUGUUUCGGAACAAGAUAGUAAUUUUUCUUUAAAAUGAACCAAAAAAUUAUACAGCCUGCAACUUUAUGACCAACAACAUCUGUAACUCGAUGCAUACAAUGUAACUCAAGUCAUUCAGUAAUUUUCCGUCACUGUUUCAUAGACUUUUUAUAAAUGUAUUCUUGUUAUUGACUCUCUCAAUUUUUGCUUUAUGGUUGCAGUAUUUUGGCUUCAUUGUUCAUAUGCUGAAGUUAUAUGUUGUGAUUCUUUUAUUAUAAUUUUUUGAUUUUGCACUGGUUGUGGUUCUAUAAUCUUUUUG